GAUUAUUGUGUGUGAAAAUCCCAGGAGAUAAAUUACCGACACUCUUGACCUGCAUCUGCAUGAUUUUGUGCAUCACACUGCUGCACUACUGGCUGAUUGGAUAACUAUAUAAAUAAGUGUGUGUACAGAUAUUCCUAUUAAAGUGGUCAGUGAGUGUAUGUAUAAAAAAUGGAUGUUAUUAUAUGUCUUUUUUUUAUCCCUUUUUAAGACCUUGUGCUCAAUCCAGGUGGUCACUCUACCUGUAUAAAAUACGACUUAAGCUACCUUCUUUUCACCUGGAAUGUUGAGCACCAUGGCGCAAUCAGAAGUGUUUCUGAGGACCACAGAAGCUUCUGAAGCUCACCAAUUCUCAGUCAUCAUUUAAAAAACAAAACAAAUUCGGAAUUCGAUGGAAUAGGACGCGAAGUUGGAGGCUCCUGCUGAUUUCGAUUAAAAUUGUACUCCAGGAGCUCCAGAAGAUUCUCGGGGAAGCGCUGUUUACUAUCCAGCUUGACCUGCAGGCCGUGAAAACACAGCUGGCUAGUGAUAAAGUUGCUACCGAGGCCACCAUGUCAACACUGUAAGGUACUGCUGGGGAGAUGGAGCACGCUCUCUCCCCUUGCACCGAUGACAUAGCUCACAUGAACACUACUGUCGAGUCUCUCACUGCGACUGUGACUCAAUUAGAGAAUAAAUGUGAGGAUUUGGAGUUGAGGUCACGGCGCAAUAACGUUACGAUAGUAGGAGAUCCAGAGGGCGCUGAAACCUGUAUAACUGCUGCUGUAGCGGCCUUGUUAAAAGAAGCGUUUGGUCUGGAGAAGGAGCCGGUUUUGGACCGGUCCCACAGGACCCUUCAGCCGAAGCCCAAGGCUGGUGAACGACCACGAGCUAUUGUGUGCAGAUUCCACUAUCACAGUGACUGUGUUGACAUUUUACGCCGUGCGAGAGAGCUCGGUGAAGGUGAGGGAUUUGACCAUCUCCGUUUUCCCUGACUACACAGCCAAGACAGCCCGGGCCCGGGCCUCAUUUAACGAGGUUCGGCGUCAACUCCGUGGUAUUGAGGGAGCUCGCUAUGGAAUACUUCACCCAGCUCGUCUUCGCAUUACAUAUAACAGUGUUCAGAAGGACUUUAUUUCAGCGGAGGAAGCAGGAGACUAUGUUAAACUCUUGAUAUCAGGGUGAACUGCAUCACCUACACAGCGGAGACUUUUUCGCUCUUCUUUUAUUUUUAUUUUUUGCACUCGGCCUUCCAGCUCUACAGAAUUCAGAUUUUUAUCGAAGAUAAUGUCGUUGCAUCACUCCACCUAGAUUCCUUAAAAUGUCCUUCUGUAUUAAUGUGCUUCUCUGUUUCGAUGCCCUGACCGGGUUAGAGUUUCUGUUUAUUUAAUUUUAUUAGUGUUAUCUCCUCGGCUUUACGUGCUACACUGUUAUAUUAUUUGUUACAAGUCUUUAAAAGGUAAGGACAUUAUAUUUAUUAUUGUGUGCAGAUUGUUUAUCAGUCUUGGUUAUUUUGUUGGUUGGUUCAGUUUACUCUCGGAGUUGUUUUCACAUUGUGGACCACGUUCGGUUUCUGUAGGAUACACUGCUGUCUCAUUUGUUUAUGGAGACUUUGGGUGUGGGAGUUUGGAGGAUUGUGAGAGUAAGCAGAACAUGCCAAAGCUUUGAAGGAUGUAAUGUUAUUUAAUUGCGAAUCUGUUUUUAGUGGAUUUAAAGCUAACAUGGUGAACAAAUUAUAUGAUAGAAUUCAGGCAAUUUUACUGGGGUUAUCUCAUACAGUGUAGCAAGUAAUAAUCUGGAAAGACCUUUCUAAUAUCACAGUCUAAAACUGGAUUUAAAGAGAAGCAAAUUAGUAAAUGAAUCACAUGUAAAUGAAUCACAUGAAAAUGUAUCACUUGAAUAUGAAUCUCAUGAAAAUGAAUCUCAUGUAAAUGAAUCACGUGUAAAUGAAUGACAUGUAAAUGAACCAUAUGAAAAUGAAUAAAUAAAUUAAAGACAAAAAAACAAAACAUUUUCAAUCAUUUUUAUUCGACAGUCAUAUGUUUAUUGAUCAAAUCAUUUUAAAUAAUCAGAAACACAAAAAGCUAG
ensembl:lncRNA